AUUGAACGCUGGCGGCAUGCCUUACACAUGCAAGUCGAACGGCAGCAUGGAAGAGCUUGCUCUUCUGAUGGCGAGUGGCGAACGGGUGAGUAAAGCAUCGGAACGUACCGUGUAGUGGGGGAUAACGUAGCGAAAGUUACGCUAAUACCGCAUACGCACUGAGGUGGAAAGCAGGGGAUCGCAAGACCUUGCGCUAUACGAGCGGCCGAUGUCAGAUUAGCUAGUUGGUAGGGUAAAGGCCUACCAAGGCGACGAUCUGUAGCGGGUCUGAGAGGAUGAUCCGCCACACUGGGACUGAGACACGGCCCAGACUCCUACGGGAGGCAGCAGUGGGGAAUUUUGGGACAAUGGGCGAAAGCCUGAUCCAGCCAUGCCGCGUGAGUGAAGAAGGCCUCGGGUUGUAAAGGACUCUUUCGGCUGGGAGAAAUCGCACAGGCUAAUACUCUGUGUGGA
rnacentral:rRNA from 1 species